AUAACAGUUAGAAAUGACUGCUAAUGCCGCAUAAGCGCACAGGGCCGCAUGGCCCGGUGUGAAAAACUCCGGUGGUAUGAGAUGGACUCGCGUCUGAUUAGCUAGUUGGUGAGGUAACGGCCCACCAAGGCGACGAUCAGUAGCCGGCCUGAGAGGGUGAACGGCCACAUUGGGACUGAGACACGGCCCAAACUCCUACGGGAGGCAGCAGUGGGGAAUAUUGCACAAUGGGGGAAACCCUGAUGCAGCGACGCCGCGUGAGUGAAGAAGUAUUUCGGUAUGUAAAGCUCUAUCAGCAGGGAAGAAAAUGACGGUACCUGACUAAGAAGCCCCGGCUAACUACGUGCCAGCAGCCGCGGUAAUACGUAGGGGGCAAGCGUUAUCCGGAUUUACUGGGUGUAAAGGGAGCGUAGACGGCUUUGCAAGUCUGACGUGAAACUCCGGGGCUCAACUCCGGAACUGCGUUGGAAACUGUAAGGCUUGAGUGCCGGAGAGGUAAGCGGAAUUCCUAGUGUAGCGGUGAAGUGCGUAGAUAUUAGGAGGAACACCAGUGGCGAAGGCGGCUUACUGGACGGCAACUGACGUUGAGGCUCGAAAGCGUGGGGAGCAAACAGGAUUAGAUACCCUGGUAGUCCACGCGGUAAAC
rnacentral:rRNA from 1 species